GGAUUUUUUAUUGAUAUGCUACAAGACACCGAAAGCUCAACUAGGCAAGCAUCUGUGUAACAGCUCCCUACUUGCAGUAGGUGUCGUAUUGGAGCAGGGCCCACAGAGAUGAAGUGUGAUCCCUGCUGCCUUUCCCUACUUGCAGUAGGUGUCGUAUUGGAGCAGGGCCCCCAGUUUGGUUCCUGCUAGUCUCUUGCUGAACUCCUCGUCCAUCUGUUG